rnacentral:misc_RNA from 1 species
GUUUAUUUCCCACCCCUCACCGAACCACCCUUUUCGUGAUAUUACACAUGCACUCUCUCUUUUGUUAUUCUUAUUACUCACUCUGCUAUGUUUUAUACACAUUUCAGUUUUGGAGGUUUUCAUCUGUCGAUGUUCUAUCAAAUAUGUUGCUGUCAAGCAAAAGAAUUGUUUCUUGUCACGACGCUUCUGGUGGGUCUGUGAGAUUUUGGGAAAAGUUUCAUAUUUAGGUCUUUCUUCUCUUUAGGCAAUGUGAUUCUUGAAGCCAUGCUGGGUUUCAAAGCUUUUGAGCUAGUGAUGUUUUGGCGUCGCAAAGUUUAAUUUCUUUUUGUCACUAAAUUACUCUUUUGGUGAAACUACAUGACCUUCUACUUUUCUUGUUCUUAUUACUCUCUUUGGUAUAACUCAGAAAAGCAAUUUAACAUGUUCUCUCUUGAGCUGGAAAGUUGUUGCUUAGCAUGGCUCCUCGGGUGGGUAUAUGAGAUAUAGUAGGAAGUUCCAUUUCAUGGUGCAUCUUCUCCGUCUUAUAAGGCUUACUGAUGCUUG